UCGAUACUGCUGUGACUCGAGUUCGGUAGAGGAGUGUGGAAUUCCUGGUGUAGCGGUGAAAUGCGCAGAUAUCAGGAGGAACACCAACGGCGAAGGCAGCACUCUGGGCCGAAACUGACACUGAAGAGCGAAAGCAUGGGGAGCAAACAGGAUUAGAUACCCUGGUAGUCCAUGCCGUAAACGUUGGGCACUAGGUGUGGGGCCUUAUCAACGGGUUCCGUGCCGCAGCUAACGCAUUAAGUGCCCCGCCUGGGGAGUACGGCCGCAAGGCUAAAACUCAAAGGAAUUGACGGGGGCCCGCACAAGCGGCGGAGCAUGUUGCUUAAUUCGAGGCAACGCGAAGAACCUUACCUGGGUUUGACAUGUACCGAAAAGCCGUAGAGAUACGGUGUCCUUCGGGGCGG
rnacentral:rRNA from 1 species